rnacentral:tRNA from 1 species
GAGGGUAUAGCUCAGUGGUAGAGUGUGUGCUUAGCAUGCAUGAGGUCGUGGGCUCAAUUCUCCAGUACCUCCA